rnacentral:rRNA from 1 species
CUUUCUUUGCUGGCGACCGGCGCACGGGUGAGUAGCACGUAUCCAACCUGCCCUUUACUCGGGGAUAGCCUUUCGAAAGAAAGAUUAAUACCCGAUAGCAUAAUGAUUCCGCAUGGUUUCAUUAUUAAAGGAUUCCGGUAAAGGAUGGGGAUGCGUUCCAUUAGGUUGUUGGUGGGGUAACGGCCCACCAAGCCUUCGAUGGAUAGGGGUUCUGAGAGGAAGGUCCCCCACAUUGGAACUGAGACACGGUCCAA